rnacentral:misc_RNA from 1 species
UUGGUUUGUUACGGGUGGUUGGAUGUCUUCUAGCGAAGCAACUUCCAUGCGUGCUUACCUCUUCAUUUAUGYAGCAAGGCUUGUUUGUCUUGCUCAUAUUGUGGGUUUCCUGUGUUGCGUACCUAAACAAAGGCAUUGUAUGGAUCGAUAUAAGCUGUUUUCRUCAUGCAUCGCACUUGUGGUGUGUGACGGACCAGAAAGAGUUCUCUGUAAUCCAUCUCGUCAUUGUAAACACUUUGAUGAUGUGGCUUGCUGAGUUUCACUUGGAUUCUUGGAUAUUGAACCUAAUGUGGGCAUGGGGUCUUACAUGAUCCUUUUUUGCCCUCGUUUAGCGUUCUCGCUUCUCUAAAACGAUCACUCGUCAUGUGUUGGCAUGUCCAUGCAUGGUGGGUUGCAUCGAAGAGGAAUGCUACCUGGUUGAUCCUGCCAGUAGUCAUAUGCUUGUCUCAA